UUGAGCGAAGCUUUUUGGUAGUUUACUACUAGAAAUGACUGAGCGGCGAACGGGUGAGUAACGCGUGAGCAAUCUACCUUAGUUACUGGGAUAGCCCGAGGAAACUCGGAUUAAUACCGGAUAUUCUUAUUUUUUCACAUGAAGUUUUAAGGAAAGGUCAGCCGAACUAAGAUGAGCUCGCGUUCUAUCAGCUAGUUGGUGGGGUAAAAGCCUACCAAGGCUACGACGGAUAGCUGGUCUGAGAGGACGAUCAGCCACACUGGGACUGAGACACGGCCCAGACUCCUACGGGAGGCUGCAGCAGGGAAUAUUGUGCAAUGAGCGAAAGCUUGACACAGCGACACCGCGUGUGGAUGACGGUUCUAGGAUUGUAAACCACUUUCAGGAGGGAAGAAAAUGACGGUACCUCCACAAGAAGACCCGGCCAACUAUGUGCCAGCAGCCGCGGUAAUACAUAGGGGUCAAGCGUUGUCCGGAUUUAUUGGGCGUAAAGAGCUCGUAGGCGGUUCAACAAGUCGGUCGUAAAAGUUUAGGGCUCAACCCUAAAAUGUCGAUCGAUACUGUUGUGACUAGGAUACGGUAGAGGUGAAUGGAAUUCCGAGUGUAGCGGUGAAAUGCGUAGAUAUUCGGAGGAACACCAAUUGCGAAGGCAGUUCACUGGACCGUGAUCGACGCUGAGGAGCGAAAGCUAGGGGAGCAAACAGGAUUAGAUACCCUGGUAGUCCUAGCUGUAAACGAUGGAUACUAGAUGUAGAACUGGAUUGACGGUUUCUGUAUCGUAGCUAACGCGUUAAGUAUCCCGCCUGGGGAGUAC
rnacentral:rRNA from 1 species